UUGGUUGUAGCUCAGUGGUAGAGCAUUCACCUUGGAUGUAUGAGGCAGUGGGUUCAAUCUUCACAACCACA
rnacentral:tRNA from 1 species